rnacentral:rRNA from 1 species
UCACUCGCAUUGAUUACGUCCCUGCCCUUUGUACACACCGCCCGUCGCACCUACCGAUUGAAUGAUUCGGUGAAAAUUCUGGACUGUGGCUCGGACGCCUUCGGGCGACCUUGCUGUGGGAAGUUAUUUAAACCUCAUCAUUUAGAGGAAGGUGAAGUCGUAACAAGGUUUCCGUAGGUGAACCUGCGGAAGGAUCAUUACCACACCCUCAAAUA